rnacentral:misc_RNA from 1 species
UGAAAUGCGAUAAGUAAUGUGAAUUGCAGAAUUUCGUGAAUCAUCGAAUCUUUGAACGCACAUUGCGCCCUAUGGUAUUCCGUAGGGCAUGCCUGUCUGAGCGUCAGCUCUCCCCGACUAUCAAAUCCUUUUGCAAAAAAGUUUUUGGAUAUAUUCAAAGAUGUAGCCUUGUAAAAAGGUGUUACCCUUUGAAAAAGUAAAGGCAGUACUGUUGAACCUGAAGGUAGACGUGAUAUAUAUUUUCGUUUCUUUUUAGGUAGGACUGUUGCUUGCCUCCAACCCACUGAACUUCUUUGGGUGACCUCAGAUCAGGUAGGGAUACCCGCUGAACUUAA